rnacentral:rRNA from 1 species
GUAGGGAAUAUUGGGCAAUGGAUGCAAGUCUGACCCAGCCAUGCCGCGUGCCGGAUGAAGGCCCUCAGGGUUGUAAACGGCUUUUGACGGUGAAGAAUCGACAGGAUGCGUCCUGUUUUGACGGUAGCCGUUGAAUAAGCACCGGCUAACUCCGUGCCAGCAGCCGCGGUAAUACGGAGGGUGCGAGCGUUGUCCGGAUUUAUUGGGUUUAAAGGGUGCGUAGGCUGGAAGGUCAGUCAGCGGUGAAAAGCUGUCGCUUAACGAUAGUCUUGCCGCAGAUACUUCCUUUCUUGGAUGAGGAGGAGGCCACUGGAACGGAUGGUGUAGCGGUGAAAUGCAUAGAUAUCAUCCAGAACACCGAUUGCGAAGGCAGGUGGCUGUACCUUAAUCGACGCUGAUGCACGAAAGCAUGGGGAGCAAACAGGAUUAGAAACCCCAGUAGUCC